UGGCGGAAAAGGAGACCUCUGUGGACCUGCGUCCGCAUUAGUCUCUAGCCUGUCUUCUUUGAAGGAUCCACGUGAUAUUCCCACAAUCCUAGGAGAUGGCAGUGGAGAGAUAGCCUGAAGAAAUCUCAAGCGCAGCUUCAGAAAUACAGCGCGAUGUUCCUAAGAAUCCAAAAGGGCCUGCAGGAUGCGUCAGGCCUGCCUAGACGGUGUUGGUAAAGAAGAGGAGCACACCACACCUAAGGACAGACACCUCCUUAGACCAGGCUGGAUCUGCCUGAACCAUUUUCCUCUGCUUAGGCAGGCUGACAGCCCUGACAGUUCAGCUCCCGAGGCUGCCUCACGAAUGGGCAUGUGCCAGAAUCCGAGCACCGUGCGCAAGCAGUGAGGGAAGGCUCGCGUCACAGUGACCGCCACUGUUGCCUGGUGACACGUAUCUGUGGCUUGGCGGAGAAAGAGACCUCUGUGGGGUGCGUCCGCGGUGGACUCUCACGUGUCUUCUUUGAAGGAUCCACGUGAUAGUCCAACAAUCCUAGGAGAUGGCAGUGGCAAAUCAGCCUGAAGAAAUCUCAAGUGGAGCUUCAGAAAUACAGCGCGAAAUCCCUAAGGAUGGACCCGCAGGAUGCCUCAGGCCUGCCUAGACCUUACAUGCCGGGGUCCAAAUCACCUUCCCCUGCAAAAGAGCCACCCUUGAAGAAAGAAGAGGAGAACACCACACCUAAGGGCAGACACUUCCCGUGACUUCUUUGUCCUGGGACCAACUGAUCCUUGCAAACUCGCAACCAGACCCUCGCAAUCCUGUCUCAGGGCCGCUUGAAUCCAACUCGAAUUUGGUUUUGAGCCGAACAGGUGCUUCACGUCAUGAGGUGGGCACUCCUCCAUCACCUUCGGAUUUCAUCCCGGGACGGAGAGACUGCUGUGCUGAGAAGCAAGAGCAUCUGUGAGGCCCAGAAUGAAGUGUGGCAGUGAGCUCAAGGGUGUGGCCAUCUUUCAGUGACACCCACCUCUAGUGUAUCAGGGAUGAUUUCAUCACCCCCAGACCCCUCAUCUUACCAGAUUGUAUUCCCAUCCCCAUGGGACCCAAUUCCGUCACAGCCUCUUUCGGCAAUGGAAACAGAAGAGCCAUUUCCAGUGCCCACCUUAAAUUCUAGAAACUUCUCCCCCUCCACUGGUGCCUGACCACGGAUAUGGCCCCAGGAGGCGCUAUGGUGGAGACUUAUAGGGUCUCGCUCUGGUUGUUGCAGACAGCCUUAUUCUCGAGACCAGGCUGGCUCUGCCUGUACUGUUGUUCUCUGCUUAGGCAGGCUGACAGCCCUGACAGUUCAGCUCCCGAGGCUGCCUCGCGAAUGUACACACACCAGUCUCAGCACACCAUGCACAAGCCGUGAGUGAAGGUACGCUUCACAGUGAAUGCCACCAUUGCCUGGCUGCAAGUAUCUGUGGCUUGGUGGAGGAAGACCUCUGUGGACGUGCGUCUGCGUUGGAGUCUCACCUGUCUUCCUUUAAAGAUCCAAGUGAUAGUCCCACAAUCCUAGCAGAUGGCAGUGGGAGUCAGCCUGAGGAAACCUCAAGUGGAGCUUCAGAAAUACACUGUGAAAUCCCUAAGGUCCAAAAAGAUCCGCAGGGUGAGUCAGGCCUGCCUACUCGGUGUGGGGUGUGUCUCCUUGACAGUUGCCUCACUGUAAUUUCUAGGUAAAGUCCGCCUGUAUUUUUCAGCA